CCCUUAGAUGUUCUGGGCUGCACACGUGCUACACUGGCAGGUUCAGCGAGCUUCAUGCCCUGAUCUGAAAGGAAUGGGAAAUCUUUUCAAAACCUGCCGUGCUUGGGAUAGAUGUUUGCAAUUAUUCAUCUUCAACGAGGAUUGCCUUGUAAGCGCACGUCAUCAGCGUGCAUUGAAUACGACCCUGUAUUCUGUACACACCGCCCUUCGCUCCUACCGAUUGAAGUUUUCGGUGAGUUGACAGGAGGAUUUUUUUGAAACUGGUUCGCCAGUGGAUUUUAGAUCCAAAUGCCAACGAAUCGAUGGCUUUAGAGGAAGGAGAAGUCGUAACA
rnacentral:rRNA from 1 species